rnacentral:lncRNA from 10 species
CUAUAUAUUCCUUUACUUCUUGUACAAUCAGACAAUUUUAUUUCACCUGGAGAGCCAUACAUUAUCAUUUAUAGUUGGUUUAUAUUCUUCUAAAUCUCUUUGAAUUAUACAGCCACUUUUGGAGGAUUUAAACCUUUUUUAUUGGAGGGUUGGUGUAUUUAACUAAACUGUGAUAACUGAAAUUUGUGCAUAUCAGAAUUGUGCAAAGUAAAAACUCCCUGUGUGUGUUAUAUGUGUUAUGUGUAUUUAUGUGUAAGUAUUUAAAAUCAGUGUGUAUGCUUAUCUGUAAUUCUACAUGUUAACUAAAUUUUCUGAUUUAAUAACCAAUCAUCAGUCACGAUGUUUUGACUAAGAGGACUACUCUAAUAUUUUACUUUUCAGAAUAGAAAUAUCUUAGAAAAAAAUACACACACACCAAGCAAAAGAAGAUCACUGAAGAAAAAGUAUUUUAGUUUAGAAAUUUAUAUCUAACUUUGAGAUUUGAGAAAUCCUUUAUUUCAAUUCAGAAAAAUAAAAGUAAACACUAUUCUAC